AUUGAACGCUGGCGGCAUGCCUUACACAUGCAAGUCGAACGGCCGCACGGGAGCAAUCCUGGUGGCGAGUGGCGAACGGGUGAGUAAAGUAUCGGAACGUGCCCAGUCGUGGGGGAUAACGUCGCGAAAGUGAUGCUAAUACCGCAUACGAUUUAUGGAAGAAAGCGGGGGAUCGGAAGGCCUCGUGCGCUUGGAGCGGCCGAUAUCAGAUUAGGUAGUUGGUGGGGUAAAGGCUCACCAAGCCGACGAUCUGUAGCUGGUCUGAGAGGACGACCAGCCACACUGGGACUGAGACACGGCCCAGACUCCUACGGGAGGCAGCAGUGGGGAAUUUUGGACAAUGGGCGAAAGCCUGAUCCAGCCAUGCCGCGUGCAGGAUGAAGGCCUUCGGGUUGUAAACUGCUUUUGUACGGAACGAAAAGGUUUGGCCUAAUAAGCUGAGCUCAUGACGGUACCGUAAGAAUAAGCACCGGCUAACUACGUGCCAGCCGCCGCCGUAA
rnacentral:rRNA from 1 species